AUGUAUUUAUUGACCGUUUGUAACUAUUUGAGUGUCUUUUUGUACGCCCCAAGCCUUCUCCGAGCCGGGCGCGGUGCGUGCAGCCCGCCGGCUGAGCCGAGCCGGGCCGGGCAUGGCGGGGCUCGGCGCCGGGCCGGGAGGCGGUGCCAGGCCGGGGAGGGCCGGGCAGGGCCGGGAGCCACCGCCUCCCGUCUCCGGGUCGCCGCUGUAACCCUUCCGGGUCGGCAGCCGAGGUGCCGAGGGGCCCGGGGCAGCGCUGCGGCCGCCCCCGAUAUGGAUAGCCAGAAGGAUGAGAAAAGCAGGACGCUCUGUGCCACCUCACAGGACGAGCUGAAAGGCCGAGGUAAAGAAAAAAGGAAGCGAAAACGUAGUAGAAGCAGAUCAUCAUCCAUUUCAUCCACAUCAUCUUCUAGUACUGCAUCCUCUUCUUCUUCCUCCUCAUCACGCUCAUCGUCAAGGUCGUCGUCUUCAAGUAGCAGAGAUUCUCCUAAGUCUAAAUCAAAGAAAAGGAAAAAAGAAAAGCACAAUAAAAAGAAAAGGAAAAAAGAGAAUAAAAUGAAAAAAAAGAAAGAAAAGAAGAAAAAGAGAGAGAAGACAGGACCUGUCCAGCUUUCUAAGUUCUUCAAAAACAAAAAGAAGAAUGAAAACUACAGCAUGAUAACUGGAAAGAAAAUUAAGAUGAAAAUAAAGAAAACUAAGAAGGAUAAAGAGAGAGAUCGGAACCGCGCAGAGCUGCUUGAAUUUCUGAACUCUGCCUUGUAA
ensembl:lncRNA